AUGUCCUGCACCAUGAUCAAAUGGCGUGGAUGGUUUUCCUGUCACAACAUCUUGGAGUGCACCUCCUUUCUUGUACACUGUAUAAGCCGUGGUCAUAAGAGCUGAGCGGAUAGCUGCUGGGCUCCAAUCAGGGUGCGCUCCUUUAAGCAAAGCAGCCAAACCACUAACGUGAGGGCACGACAUAGACGUGCCCGAAAUAAUAUUAAACUCAACACGUCUGUCGUCCUCGGCCAACCCUGUCGGACCAGCUGCACCUGUCCAUCCUGCAAGAAUGUUAACACCUGGUGCUAUGAUGUCUGGUUUCAGAAUUUCCUGUGUGAUCGAGUUUGGACCUCUGGAGCUAAAUGCAGCAACCACUGGUGAUGGUUUGAUCCCCACCUUAGUUCCCUCAAAAAGAAUAGUGGCUGUUGGAUUAGGAUUCGAGGUUAAGUAAUUCUUGAUUGCUUCCCCUGUUGUCUGUCCAACUGACGUUGCUGGAAUCAAAUGAGCAUCAGCAAUUAGCUCAUCCCCAUUUGCAGCGGUAUUAGCCAAGACCAUACCGGCUCCACCAGCUGCUUUUACCACAGAACCCUUUUGGACCCUGGGAUUUAUCCCACGGUCACAUAGAACAAUUUUUCCUUUAACUUCCUCAGGAAUUAAGGUACCCGACAUGCAAAGAUUACCAUUUGUCAUAUUACUAGCAUUACCAGCAUACACGAAGGGAAGCAUUUUGCUUAGUGACGAAGCCCCUUUAUAGAGUGAAACACCGGAGAAAUUCUUACCAUUGCCUAGACUUACAUAUGCAGGAAAAUCACGGUCCAAUGUCCCUGCACCCACAGUAGUGAUCCAUGGUGCUACAUUGGACAAACUGUAAGGACUAGGACCAGCAUUACCUGCAGAGCAAGAUACUAAAAUCCCUUUCUCCAUAGCAGCAAAUGCACCAAUGGCGACACUAUCUCUAUAGUAAUCUGAAUUACCACCACCAAGUGACAAAGAAAGUACAUUCACAUUAUCAUCAAUGGCUUUAUCUAAAGCUGCUAAUAUAUCAGAGCUAAAACAACCACCAACCCAACAAACUUUAUACACAGCAACUCUAGCAUGGGUUGCCAUUCCCCGAGCAUUACCAGAAGCAUACCCAAGGAGACUAGCACCCUGAACAACUGAACCAGUUGCAGUAGUAGAAGUAUGUGUUCCAUGUCCAUCGUCAUCCCUCGGAGAUUUCGAUUCUUUCGAUACAUCAAUCGGACCCAAAGUAGAUUCAUAACCUUUAGCAAAGUACCUGGCACCAAUCAACUUUCUAUUACAAUUCUUGGAAGUGAAAUUAGUACCAGAUUCACAUUCCCCUUUCCAUGAAGCUGGAAUGGGUCCAAAUCCAGUAUCAUCAAAACUCUUACUCUCAGGCCAAACCCCAGUAUCAAGCACACCAACAAUCACAUCACCCAUCGCAUUCGAUUCAGGAAAAUAAUCAGCACUUACAUCAAGACCCAAAAAGGAAGGCGUCCUUGUCGUAUGAAGUUCAUACUUCAUCUCCGGCAAAACUGACAAAAUCCCAGGUUGAUUCUGUAAAGACUCUGCUUCCUCAGCAGUAAGCCUCGCAGCAAAACCAUGAACAGCAUUGUUGUAAACAUACAACAUUUCAGCAGAACCAGAAACUGAUCUCAACGACGAAUCAUACCAAUGAGUAUGAUCUUCAAAACUCUCUGGCAUUUGUGAUUUCGCCAUAUGAACAAUGAAAUUACUCUUCAUCAUAUUCAUCCCCGCUGAAAAAUGACACAAACCCAGAAGAAAAAGAAGGGAUAACACUACAAAUCUCAACAUUUUUCUUCUGGGUUUGUGUCA
rnacentral:misc_RNA from 1 species